rnacentral:rRNA from 1 species
GACGAACGCUGGCGGCGUGCUUAACGCAUGCAAGUCGAACGGAAAGGCCCUGCUUUUGUGGGGUGCUCGAGUGGCGAACGGGUGAGUAACACGUGAGUAACCUGCCCUUGACUUUGGGAUAACUUCAGGAAACUGGGGCUAAUACCGGAUAGGAGCUCCUGCUGCAUGGUGGGGGUUGGAAAGUUUCGGCGGUUGGGGAUGGACUCGCGGCUUAUCAGCUUGUUGGUGGGGUAGUGGCUUACCAAGGCUUUGACGGGUAGCCGGCCUGAGAGGGUGGCCGGCCACAUUGGGCCUGAGGUACGGCCCAGACUCCUACGUGAGGCAGCAGUGGGGAAUAUUGCACAAUGGGCGGACGCCUGAUGCAGCAACGCCGCGUGCGGGAUGACGGCCUUCGGGUUGUAAACCGCUUUCGCCUGUGACGAAGCGUGAGUGACGGUAAUGGGUAAAGAAGCACCGGCUAACUACGUG